rnacentral:tRNA from 1 species
CUCUUAUUAACUCAAAGGUAGAUCAGAAUACUUCUAAUAUUCUGAUUUAAGUUCGAAUCUUAAAUAAGAAU